AGAUUGAACGCUGGCGGCAGGCCUAACACAUGCAAGUCGAGCGGCAGCACGGGUACUUGUAUCUGGUGGCGAGCGGCGGACGGGUGAGUAAUGCCUAGGAAUCUGCCUGGUAGUGGGGGGAUAACGCUCGGAAACGGACGCUAAUACCCGCAUACGUCCUACGGGGAGAAAGCAGGGGACCUUCGGGCCUUAGCGCUAUCAGAUGAGCCUAGGUCGGAUUAGCUAGGUUGGUGGGUAAUGGCUCACCGAAGGCGACGAUACCCGUAACUGGUCUGGAGAGGAUGGAUCAGUCACACUGGAACUGAGACACGGUACAGACUCCGUACGGAGGCAGCAGGUAGGGAAUAGUGACAAGUGGACGAAAGCCUAGGAUCC
rnacentral:rRNA from 1 species